rnacentral:rRNA from 1 species
UACACAUGCAGUCGAGCGGGGAGAGUAGCUUGCUACUUUACCUAGCGGCGGACGGGUGAGUAAUGCUUAGGAAUCUGCCUAUUAGUGGGGGACAACAUUUCGAAAGGAAUGCUAAUACCGCAUACGUCCUACGGGAGAAAGCAGGGGACCUUCGGGCCUUGCGCUAAUAGAUGAGCCUAAGUCGGAUUAGCUAGUUGGUGGGGUAAAGGCCUACCAAGGCGACGAUCUGUAGCGGGUCUGAGAGGAUGAUCCGCCACACUGGGACUGAGACACGGCCCAGACUCCUACGGGAGGCAGCAGUGGGGAAUAUUGGACAAUGGGGNCAACCCUGANCCAGCCAUGCCGCG